rnacentral:rRNA from 1 species
GUGAGGAAUAUUGCGCAAUGGAGGCAACUCUGACGCAGCCAUGCCGCGUGCAGGAAGAAGGCGCUACGCGUUGUAAACUGCUUUUAACCGGGAAGAAACCCCAGGACGUGUCCUGGGUUGACGGUACCGGAGGAAUAAGCACCGGCUAACUUCGUGCCAGCAGCCGCGGUAAUACGAAGGGUGCAAGCGUUAUACGGAUUCAUUGGGUUUAAAGGGUGCGUAGGCGGAGCGUUAAGUCAGUGGUGAAAUCCUGCAGCUUAACUGUAGACUUGCCAUUGAUACUGGCGCUCUUGAGUGCGCUUGAAGUGGGCGGAAUGUGCCGUGUAGCGGUGAAAUGCGUAGAUAUGGCACAGAACACCAAUGGCGAAGGCAGCUCACUAAGGCGAUACUGACGCUGAGGCACGAAAGCGUGGGGAUCGAACAGGAUUAGAAACCCUAGUAGUCC